UUCCGGUUGAUCCUGCCGGACCCGACUGCUAUCGGAUUGGGACUAAGCCAUGCGAGUCAACUCGAAAGAGUGGCGCACGGCUCAGUAACACGUAGUCAAUCUACCCUGAGGACGGGGAUAACCCCGGGAAACUGGGGAUAAACCCCGAUAGGUCAUAGCUCCUGGAAUGGGCUAUGGCUCAAAUGCUAUAUGGCCUUAGGAUGGGACUGCGUCCGAUCAGGUUGUUGGUGGGGUAAUGGCCCACCAAGCCUAUAACCGGUACGGGCUCUGAGAGGAGGAGCCCGGAGAUGGGCACUGAGACAAGGGCCCAGGCCCUACGGGGCGCAGCAGGCGCGAAACCUCCGCUAUGCGCGAAAGCGCGACGGGGCCACUCCGAGUGCCGCCCGCUGAGGGCGGCUUUUGCCCAGUCCAAAAGGCUGGGCGAAUAAGGGGAGGGCAAGAUUGGUGUCAGCCGCCGCGGUAAUACCAACUCCCCGAGUGGUCGGGACGAUUAUUGGGCUUAAAGCGUCCGUAGCCGGUCGGGUGUGUCGUCGGUUAAAUCCGACGUCUCAAGCGUCGGACUGCCGGCGAUACUACCCGGCUAGGGAGCGGGAGAGGCGGCCGGUAUUCCCGGGGUAGGGGUAAAAUCCUCAGAUCCCGGGAGGACCAUCGGUGGCGAAUGCGGGCCGCUAGAACGCGCUCGACGGUGAGGGACGAAAGCUGGGGGAGCGAUCCGGAUUAGAUACCCUGGUAGUCCCAGCUGUAAACGAUGCAGGCUAAGUGU
rnacentral:rRNA from 1 species